GAUGAAGAACGUAGCGAAAUGCGAUAAGUAAUGUGAAUUGCAGAAUUCAGUGAAUCAUCGAAUCUUUGAACGCACAUUGCGCCCAUCAGUAUUCUGUUGGGCAUGCCUGUCCGAGCGUCAUUUCAACCCUCAGGGCCCGUUCGCGGGAACUGGUGUUGGGGAUCGGCCUCCCCCCGGAGGCCGGCCCCGAAAUGCAGUGGCGGCUCUACCGCGAUCUCCUCUGUGUAGUAGCGAUACCUCGCAGCUGGAUAGUGGUGGUGCCACGCCGUAAAAUCCCAACUUUACCAAGGUUGACCUCGGAUCAGGUAGGAAUACCCGCUGAACUUAAGCAUAUCAUAAGCGGAGGA
rnacentral:misc_RNA from 1 species